rnacentral:sRNA from 1 species
AGAUGAUCAGAGCGAAUGACAGGCACGAGGCCUGGGGCUACCAUUCUGCAGAGGGUUGAUUCAAAUGGGUUGACACCUGCUGGCUUAGGCAGGCGUCCCUUUCCUCCCUCACUGCUCCAUGUGAAUCUCUCCUGAAGCUGCGUGCUGGCUGGAAGAGGAGGAUCUUCUCUGAUAGAGGACAACUGUUCUGUGGUCAAGUGUAUACCGUGGUCAAGUGUAUACCAUUCCCUGCUAGAACCGCGGACAAGCUCAAACCAGAAGGUGAAUGGUGAACAUGGACAUCCUGCUGCCUUCAAAGUACUCAGAAGAGGGGAAUUCAGAAGAGGGGAAUUCAGAAGAGGGGAAUUCAGAAGAGGGGAAUUCAGGUUUUCUUU